rnacentral:rRNA from 1 species
AUUGAACGAUGGAGGAAGGGAGAAAAAAGGAAAGGCGAGAGGAGGAAGGGAGCGGGAGGCGGGAGGGAGCGGCGGACGGGUGAGGAAGGCCUAGGAAUCGGGGCGGUAGUGGGGGAUAACGUCCGGAAAGGGGCGCUAAUACCGCAUAAGGCCUGAGGGAGAAAGGGGGGGAGCUUCGGACCUCACGCUAUCAGAUGAGCCUAGGUCGGAUUAGCUAGUUGGGGGGGUAAAGGCCUACCAAGGCGACGAGCGGGACAGGGUCUGAGCGGAUGAUCAGUCACGCUGGAACUGAGCCACGGUCCCGACUCCUCCUGGAGGCAGCAGUGGGGAAUAUUGGACAAUGGGCGAAAGCCUGAUCCAGCCAUGCCGCGUGUGUGAAGCAGGUCUUCGGAUUUUAACUCCCUUUCCGUUGGGAGGAAGGGCAGUCCGUUCCUCCCUUCCUGUUUUGACGUUACCCACAGACUAAGCCCCCCCUCCCUUCGUG